rnacentral:rRNA from 1 species
AUGGUCUUUGAUACAGAUGAUGCAGCUUACACCUUUUACAAUGAGUAUUCCUCAAUUGAUGGUUUUUCUGUGAAGAAGGCAACUCGCUUAUGUGGCAAGAAACAAGGAGGCAGUGCACCAACUCAGGUAACUUUCAAGUGCAAUCGGUCAGGAAGAGUAAUUGACAAAGAAGAACAAGAGAAUAGGAGGAAGAAACAAUGUGACACAAGGCAAUACAAGACAAGACAAGAGCCAUAUCAGAAUGCAAGGAAGAAAAAACCAAACACCAUUGCAAUAACAGGGUGUAAAGCUCAACUCAUUGUCACCAAGAAGGAUGAGAAGUGGGUGAUAACAACCAUAAACCUAGAACACAACCAUGAUUUGAGUCCUCACACAGAAGUGAAAUACCUUCAUUCUCAUAAGCACAUGACAGAGGAGGAGAAGCUCCUAAUUCGAGCAUUCAAUGUUGUGAAGCUACCAACAAGAAAAAUAAUGGCAAUCCUAAGUUACUUGAGAGGUGGAAACACUCCUUAUACCAAAAAGCAUGUCAGCAAUGUUAGGCCAGCCAUUGGCAAAGAGAGCAAUCAAAAUGGCAUGAUGUAGGUGCUAACAUAUUUCAGGAAGAAACAAGCUGAAGAUCCACAAUGUUACUAUGCGUUCAAGACAACUAAAGUCUCUAAUGAAGCAAGUAAAGUUUUGUGCAUUAUCUGGGCUGACACGUAUUCUAGGAAAAUGUACGAGCUGUACGGAGACUGCCUCAGCUUUGACACAACAUUUGAGACAAACGGAUACAACCUUCCAUUUGCUCCCUUUGUUGGAAUCACAGGACAUGGCCAAAACUGUUUGUUUGCUUGCUCUAUCAUUGAGAAUGAAACAGCUGACACCUUCCAAUGGUUGUUUGAGACGUUCUUGCAUUGCAUGGGUGGCAAAUCUCCAUCCACAAUCAUCACGGAUGAGGAUUCUGGGAUGAAGACAGCUAUCCCUCUAGUUUUCCCCCAUAUCUGCCACAUACGAUGUUUGUUUCAUAUUAAAAAAAAGGCUGAGGAAAAAUGUACUAGGACUUUUGCGGCAAAUAAAACCCUGCGUGAUGAUUUCAGUGACAUCAUACACAACACUAUGGUGGCUGAGUUUGAGAACUUGUGGACAGAUAUGUUGCAGAAAUACAACAUUGGGCAUGUGAAGUAUUUCCAAAUCAUGUGGAAGAAAAGGAAAAGGUUUGUUCCUGUGUAUUUCAAGAAGAACUUCUCCCCUUCAUUCACUCUGCUGCACGUAGUGAAGGCACCAAUGCCAUUUUCAAGGACAACAUCAUGUCAACUCACAACGUGA